rnacentral:lncRNA from 1 species
CUUCAUCCUUGAUAAUGAGGAGUACCUAUUCCUGGUCUGCCUACCUUGAGGAGUUGAGGUCAAAGAAAAAGAAAUUCAAGCUCUCUCCAAACAGGGUUCACCGCCUUAGAGAAGGGGAAUGAACUGAGGUACUUUCUGAUCUUCCUCUAAAGGAAAGAAAAAAAAAUGAAGAAAAUGCUCGCCUCUCAGGAGUUGGAUACUGAAUCUUUCUGCUGAGUUAGUGAAAGGGGAACAGAGUUCUGAUUUCUAAGGAAACGUUAUGAAAAUAUUCCGCUCACUCUUUCAUUUUUAAUAUGAACUCAAUUUCAUCUAGACUACCAAGAAAAAUUCGUCAUUAGUGAAACUUCAAAAAGGUCUUGCGAUGACAGGUCUAGAAAUUUUCUUUCACAUUCGUGUUUCAAAAUUGGGCGGGUUAAACGGAGAAAAAAGAAGCAAGUUCGCCAAAUCAUCUAAUUGCACAUAUGAUUUUGAUCUCACAGACACCCCCACUGUUUUCCGAGGUCUCUCAGCUUGGUGUCAUUGAUGGAGCAUGCUGUGAACCCUGUCCAUAAAUUAAGAUGUGGAUAUGACAGUGAUCCAAAGGCCCAGCACAAUUUGCAACCUGAUAAAGCAGCAAGUGACCAUUUCUGGGGAGGACGGGCAACAGGCUUCCAUUCUACCUAGGCUGCAGUGCUCCAGGGGAAUGAAGCCAUUAUUCAUACAGAG